GGAUGAACGCUAGCGGGAGGCUUAACACAUGCAAGUCGAGGGGUAAAUGGCAGCAAUGCUAUGAGACCGGCGAACGGGUGCGUAACGCGUAUGCAACUUACCUUAUGCAGGGGGAUAGCCCGUGGAAACGCGGAUUAAUAUCCCAUAGAUCAGUGGUAUCGCAUGGUACAGCUGGUAAAGCUCAGGUGGCAUAAGAUGGGCAUGCGUCUGAUUAGCUGGUUGGUAGGGUAACGGCCUACCAAGGCGACGAUCAGUAGGGGUUCUGAGAGGAUUAACCCCCACACUGGUACUGAGACACGGACCAGACUCCUACGGGAGGCAGCAGUGAGGAAUAUUGGUCAAUGGGCGGAAGCCUGAACCAGCCAUCCCGCGUGAAGGAAGAAGGCCUUAUGGGUUGUAAACUUCUUUUCUGUUUGAAGAAUAAGCUUGUCGAGACAAGUGAUGCCGGUAGGACAGGAAUAAGCAUCGGCUAACUCCGUGCCAGCAGCCGCGGUAAUACGGAGGAUGCAAGCGUUAUCCGGAUUUAUUGGGUUUAAAGGGUGCGCAGGUGGUUUAAUAAGUCAGUGGUGAAAGUCUGCCGCUUAACGGUAGGAUUGCCAUUGAUACUGUUGGACUUGAGUAUGGUCAAGGCAGGCGGAAUGUGUAAUGUAGCGGUGAAAUGCUUAGAUAUUACACAGAACACCGAUUGCGAAGGCAGCUUGCUGGGCCAUUACUGACGCUGAUGCACGAAAGCGUGGGGAUCGAACAGGAUUAGAUACCCUGGUAGUCCACGCAGUAAACGAUGAUCACUCGCUGUUGGCGAUACACAGUCAGCGGCUAAGCAAAAGCAUUAAGUGAUCCACCUGGGGAGUACGGCCGCAAGGCUG
rnacentral:rRNA from 1 species